rnacentral:rRNA from 1 species
UAGGGAAUCUUCCGCAAUGGACGCAAGUCUGACGGAGCAACGCCGCGUGAGUGAAGAAGGAUUUCGGUUCGUAAAACUCUGUUGUUAGAGAAGAACAGCGCAUAGAGUAACUGUUAUGCGUGUGACGGUAUCUAACCAGAAAGCCACGGCUAACUACGUGCCAGCAGCCGCGGUAAUACGUAGGUGGCAAGCGUUGUCCGGAUUUAUUGGGCGUAAAGCGAGCGCAGGCGGUCAAUUAAGUCUGAUGUGAAAGCCCCCGGCUCAACCGGGGAGGGUCAUUGGAAACUGGUUGACUUGAGUGCAGAAGAGGAGAGUGGAAUUCCAUGUGUAGCGGUGAACUGCGUAGAUAUAUGGAGGAACACCAGUGGCGAAGGCGACUCUCUGGUCUGUAACUGACGCUGAGGCUCGAAAGCGUGGGUAGCAAACAGG